UACGUAGGGGGCAAGCGUUGUCCGGAUUUAUUGGGCGUAAAGAGCGUGUAGGCGGCUGGGUAGGUCCGUUGUGAAAACUCGAGGCUCAACCUCGAGCUGUCGGCGGAAACCAUCUGGCUAGAGUCCGGAAGAGGAGAAUGGAAUUCCCGGUGUAGCGGUGAAAUGCGCAGAUAUCGGGAAGAACACCCGUGGCGAAGGCGGUUCUCUGGGACGGUACUGACGCUGAGACGCGAAAGCGUGGGGAGCGAACAGG
rnacentral:rRNA from 1 species